GGGGCUGUGGCUCAGUGGUAGAGUGCUUGCCUAGCAUGCAUGAGGCACUGGGUUCAAUCCUCAGCACCACA
rnacentral:tRNA from 1 species